GGAGUUUUCGGCAAUGGGCGAAACCCUGACCGAGCAACGCCGCGUGAGUGAUGACGGCCCUAUGGGUUGUAAAGCUCUGUUGUAAGGGACGAAUGACUAGCUUAGGAAAUGAAGUUAGUUUGACGGUACCUUACCAGAAAGCCACGGCUAACUACGUGCCAGCAGCCGCGGUAAUACGUAGGUGGCAAGCGUUAUCCGGAAUUAUUGGGCGUAAAGAGGGAGCAGGCGACAUGAUAAGUUUGAAGUGAAAGCGUAAGGCUCAACCUUAUACAGCUUCGAAAACUGUCAAGUUAGAGUACGAGAGAGGUAAACGGAACUCCAUGUGUAGCGGUGAAAUGCGUAGAUAUAUGGAAGAACACCAGUGGCGAAGGCGGUUUACUAGCUCGAAACUGACGCUCAGUCCCGAAAGCGUGGGUAGCAAAUA
rnacentral:rRNA from 1 species